GGCCACCACUCGGCCCAGCUGGGCCCAGCCAGCCCUGCACCUGACCCUACAGACCAGUCCAGGGCCAGACCUGGGUGGGAGGAGGGCUCCCUGGAGGUGGCAUCGGCUUGGCUCUGAGUACGGGCAGGACUUCACUGGAAAGGGGGGGGAGACGGCCUCCAGGCUGGGCCCAGCUGAGCCAAGGUGUGGAGGUGGGGGUAGGGGAGGCUCCUGCCAGGCCAGUGAGGGAGACAGCCCGGUGGGCGGGGAGUGGGGAGGCCGAGGCCGAGGCGGGCCAGUCCCCGCUCCCCUCCCCAGCUCGGGGCGCAGGUGUUGGGGUGAACGGCACAGCUGGUUAAACCCAGGCAGCCUCGGGCCUCCCGGGGGGACACUGGCCUGGUGCAGGCCGAGUUCAGGGCUCCGGUGGCUGUCUGCGGGACCAUGCUGGGCCUCUGUGCCUCGGUGCAGCCGCUGAUCCGCACGCUGGGGCCCACCCUGGGGGGCCUCCUGUACCGCAGCUUCGGAGUCCCCGUCUUCGGCCACGUGCAGUUUGCCGUCAACCUCCUCGUCUUCCUGGCCCUCUGGAGGCAGCCGACGCCCCAGAAGACAGACAAAGUCCGGUGACCUUGGCCCCUGGGCACCGACUGGCAAUAAAUUCCCUGGGCACCA